rnacentral:rRNA from 1 species
GAUGAACGCUGGCGGCGUGCCUAAUACAUGCAAGUCGAGCGAACAGAUAAGGAGCUUGCUCCUUUGACGUUAGCGGCGGACGGGUGAGUAACACGUGGGUAACCUACCUAUAAGACUGGAAUAACUCCGGGAAACCGGGGCUAAUGCCGGAUAACAUUUAGAACCGCAUGGUUCUAAAGUGAAAGAUGGUUUUGCUAUCACUUAUAGAUGGACCCGCGCCGUAUUAGCUAGUUGGUAAGGUAACGGCUUACCAAGGCAACGAUACGUAGCCGACCUGAGAGGGUGAUCGGCCACACUGGAACUGAGACACGGUCCAGACUCCUACGGGAGGCAGCAGUAGGGAAUCUUCCGCAAUGGGCGAAAGCCUGACGGAGCAACGCCGCGUGAGUGAUGAAGGUCUUCGGAUCGUAAAACUCUGUUAUUAGGGAAGAACAAAUGUGUAAGUAACUGUGCACGUCUUGACGGUACCUAAUCAGAAAGCCACGGCUAACUACUU